UACUAUUGCGUACAUAAUGGGUGCUCAGGUUCCGUGAGGUCCCCAAGGAAGGGAAGAUUUGAUACACGAAGAAAAGCAAUCCCCAAAGGGCCGCUAGCAUUCCCUUCGAGACCUGGCCUCAGAAGCGAAGUCGGCUUGGGUCAUUCGUCACCAAAGUUGACUUUUUUGGAGGCAAGGGUGGGCUGCAGUGUUGUGCGUAUUCUGCAUCUAGCUCUACAUCAAAACCAGAUAAGGGAUCGGAUGUGAAGAAUCAAAGUUUUUCGGCUCUUGUCCCUUUCGAGGAUAGUUCAUAUCAAGAAUACCACGUGCGUUUGGCUCAUUGCCCACCCUCCAUUUAGCCGGCACAUUUGGGUAUGGUGAGAACAUCUUCGAUAGUUGGUCUCUUGCUGAGAUUUGAUGGACGCCAGCUCUUGCCUGGGCGCUAGCAACGGCCUGCAUGCCCAUGGCAUCGUGGGGUCCUGUGCACCUUUGUGCCAGGCUCUACCACAGACAGGCCAUCUUCCUGUGUAUUCUGAUGCUUGUUGCAUCGGAAGACGUGGAUAAGAGUGCGCGGCGUCCCCAAACUGCGCCCACAUCGACCGAGUGGGCCUGCACGAUGGACUUGGGCCAGAAAGACCUAGCACCCGUUUUUACCAGCUGCAGG
rnacentral:lncRNA from 1 species